GACGAACGCUGGCGGCGUGGAUUAGGCAUGCAAGUCGAACGGUAUCAUCCUUUCGGGGGUGAGAGAGUGGCGAACUGGUGAGUAACACGUAGGUUAUCUACCCUCAAGACGGGGACAACCCAGGGAAACUUGGGCUAAUUACCGGAUGUGAGCAACUUUUAGUUGUUUGAAAGGUGGCGUAAGCUGUCGCUUGGGGAUGAGCCUGCGUCCUAUUAGUUAGUUGGUGAGGUAACGGCUCACCUAGGCAAUGAUAGGUAGGCGGCCUUAACGGGUGGUCGCCCACACUGGGAUUGAGAUACGGCCCAGACUCCUACGGGAGGCAGCAGUCGAGAAUAGUCUACAAUGGUCGGAAGACUGAUAGUGCGACGCCGCGUGAACGAUGAAUCCCUUCGGGGUGUAAAGUUCUUUUAUAUGUGAGCAGUGCUUCUUAUAUUAACAGUAUGGGGAGAGAGAUAUUAGCAUAUGAAUAAGCAACGGCUAACUCCGUGCCAGCAGCCGCGGUAAACUCGU
rnacentral:rRNA from 1 species